UUGUUGAUCGAUUUCGCGCAUAGUCCAUCUUUCGUAAUUGUGUGUUGUUGAUCCAAAUUCGAAAUUCUUUGUUUGAAUCUAUUUUGAGCCCUUUUUUCUUGUGUCUUUGUACUAACCCUUUCAUAUUUUGUGACUGACUUUGACGCACUCCACUCCACAUCACUGAAACACGCACUCUUUUAUGCUGAACAUAUCGUGAAAUUCUGGAACUACCGCUUUUCCGAGGACAGGGAGAACAAACCCGCGGUCUACCGAACAACCUCAACAAACUUCUCCAACUGCGACGUGCUCAAGGAAAAGUUCGAACAAGUGCUCU